UACGUGGGGUGCGAGCGUUAAUCGGAAUUACUGGGCGUAAAGCGUGCGCAGGCGGUUCGUUAUGUCCGAUGUGAAAGCCCCGAGCUCAACUUGGGAAUGGCAUUGGAAACUGGCGGGCUGGAGUGUGGCAGAGGGGGGUGGAAUUCCACGUGUAGCAGUGAAAUGCGUAGAGAUGUGGAGGAACACCGAUGGCGAAGGCAGCCCCCUGGGCCAACACUGACGCUCAGGCACGAAAGCGUGGGGAGCAAACAGG
rnacentral:rRNA from 1 species